AUUGAACGCUGGCGGCAGGCCUAACACAUGCAAGUCGAACGAGUGGCGGACGGGUGAGUAAUGUCUGGGAAACUGCCUGAUGGAGGGGGCUAACUACUGGAAACGGUAGCUAAUACCGCAUACCAUCGGAUGUGCCCAGAUGGGAUUAGCUAGUCGGUGGGGUAAAGGCUCACCUAGGCGACGCUCCCGAGCUGGUCUGAGAGGAUGACCAGCCACACUGGAACUGAGACACGGUCCAGACUCCUACGGGAGGCAGCAGUGGGGAAUAUUGCACAAUGGGCGAAAGCCUGAUGGAGCCACGCCGCGUGUAUGAAGAAGGCCUUCGGGUUGUAAAGUUCUUUCGGCGGGGAGGCGUUACCUGCAGAAAAAGCCCCGGCUAACUCCGUGCCAGCAGCCGCGGUAAUUC
rnacentral:rRNA from 1 species